rnacentral:tRNA from 1 species
GUUUUCAGGAGUUGAAUACAACGAUGGCUUUUCAUGCCUUAAGUCCAGGUUAGAGCCCUGGCAAGAAUU